ACGGUGGUUUAGUUUCCAGAACUCUCACAGGCCAAGCCUGACUUCAGCCUCCCAGGAGAUGAACUGCCAGUCAGCCCCUCAGCUCAACCUGCUGCAGAAGUUCUCUCUGCUCCGGCUCACUGCUAUCAUGGAGAAGUACUGCGAACCCGACCAACAUGGCUGGAGCUGGUGAGUGGAGGGCCCUUGGGAACUGGAGAGUGGAGGGCCCUUGGGAACUGUUUUGGCAGGUCAAUUUCUAAGUUUAUGAAGAGAACUAAGGUCCCUGACUACAGGGACAAGCAGGUUUUUGGUGUCCCGCUAAUCAUCAAUGUCCAAAGGACUGGGCAACUCCUACCCCAGGGCAUCCAGCAGGCCAUGCGCUACCUCCGUAGCCAAUGCCUGGAAAAGGUUGACAUUUUCCGUAAGUCUGUGGCUGACCUGCUGAAACAGUACUUCAGAGACCUGUUGAGAGUUAGAAUAGUGCAAUUUUGAAAGGUGUCCUGAAGGACAUGCGUCUUCAGGCAGCCCAGGCUGCAGUCAUCCUGCUGCCUGACGAGAACCGGGAGGUCCUGCAGACCAUGCUCUACUUCCUCAGUGACAUCGCUUCUGCUGAGGAGAACCAGAAGACAGCUGGGACCUGGCCGUGUGCCUGGCCCACUCCAUCCUGCACCUCAACGUCUCCAAGAAGGAGGGCACCUCCCCUAGAUUAAUCCACCAAAAGGGGGCAGGUGGAAAACCAGACCACAAGGACCUGAGUGAGAACAUGGCUGCCAGUCAAGGGCUCAGCCACAUGAUUGUGGAAUGUAAGAAAUUAUUCCAGUUCCCUCAUGGAUGAUGUUGCAGUCGCGGAACUCCUACGUUGCAGCAGACGCCCAGCCACUCCCUCUCUACAGCCUGGGCCUGAACCUGAAGGGCAAUCCUGUGGAUUACAGAGCCUACCUGGAGGAUAACUUCCAAGUUGUACCGAGGGGAGGCCAUAGCAAAGAGCAAAGGAUGGCACAGUGCCCCAAGUCCAGAGAACACAGAGCUGACCUACAAGAAGGUAGGGGAUGGCCAUCCCAUCCGUCUUUGGAAAGUGACCACAGAGAUCGAGGACCCGCCCCAGACAGUGUUGCACAGAGUUCUGCGUGAGCGCCACCUGUGGGAUGAUGACCUACUACACAGCCGUGUAAUCGAGGCUCUAGAGGACAACACAGAGGUGUAAUCACUUUGUGACAGACAGCAUGGCACCUCAUCCCCGCAAGGACUUCGUAGUGCUGAGGCGGUGGUGAUUAGGCGGUGGAGACCUUCCUCGGGGCCUAUGUCUGCUAGUGUCCUCCUCUGUGGACCAUGACAACGUUCACCUGGAAGCGGGGCAACAGGCAGUGCUGCUAACCUCACAGUUCCUGAUUGAGCCCUCUGGGAUGAGCCGGUCCAGGCUGAUGCACUACUGCAGAGCAGACCUCUGGGGACGAUCACCUGAGUGGUACUGCAAAGUGUUAGGCCAUCUCUGUGCAGUGGAAGUUUCUAGGAUACGGGGCUCCUUCCCUGUGCUCACAGCAAGAGGAACAGAGACAAAGAUUUGAGCUCUGAGAUGGCCAGACAGCCCACCUCAGACACGUGCAGCCUACGGCUCACAAUUACUAAAAUUUAGAGUGCCAAUCUGUAGCAUUAUGCUACAUCUACCUGACAAACUCUCUACAGUGUCAUCAACAUAGGACUGUCAGGAUGUGGACUCUCAUAUUGUACUGAUGUCCCAUUAGGAACGACUGUGGAAUUGGUAGCAAUAUUCUAAACAAGUCUAUGCAUUAACUCACGAUAACAUAUUCAAAAAUACUCUGAAGUCAAUUAAAUAGUUUAUAUAUACAAAAUCCAUUUUUUUGAAAGACUAGGUUAGAUUAGGACAAUUGUGUUGAUAGCUUUACUUAUGAUACUUACAUAUCAGUUCCCAUUUUAAUGCUGCUGUGAAAGGAGCAAGACUAAAGGCGAGGAUGCUAAAAUGCCAUGGAAUAAUUCAGGAGAGCUCUUUAGCAACCAUUCCUGUUUGUUCUGUAUACUAUGCAAUUUCUUCAUGAUAAAUUCACAGAGCUAAUAUAUUUUACUACUGUGAUUCGCUGCAUCUCAAACAUAAGAAUGGCACCAUACCUUGCUACUUGAAUAGCUAAACCCCAGUAUUGAUGAUACUUAGAUGUAAGAGAGAAAAGGGUUGCUUACUGAGACACCUUAGUGGGUGGUAGUGAGCUUUCUUAUAUCUCCUAGAUAUCGAACAGACACUUCAAAAACAUAUUCCUUAUGAUAUAUUUUUUUGGACUCUCUGUUUUGCCAUGUAUUUGUGUGUUACUCAAUGUAUUUCUAUGGGCUAUAGUAGUAAAGGCCAAAUUCAAUAUUUUAUCAAUAUAUAUAUUUUUAUACUGACAGGGGUCCUAAAAUUCAAAAUCAAAUAGCUAAAUGAUCCAUGGUAUUACCAUCUUAAAACAAUUCCAUAUGUUAGCUUAGUAGACCCCCCCCUCCCAGGCCUUGCUUUGGCUAUACAUUCUCAUCAACUGCUUGCAUUACUCAAGUGUUUAUCAUCACACACUGUAUGUCUCAAGAGGGGGCUCUACUCUGGACUUCAUGUUAUGUCUCUUCCUUUUACUCCUAUCUUUAUAAGUCUAACUGGUUAACCUCCUCUCGCUUUAAUUUAGCUGCUGAGCUCUAGGGAUCAGUCUUCUUCCCCAGAUCUUCAGAAGUUUAAAAAUAGGAACAGAGACAUGUUUUAAAUGGGCAAAUAUCUGUUCACCAAGGCCCAAACUAUAAGAUAUAAGCGCGGAACUCAAACGAUAGAAUAAAUCAAACUUUGAUGUCAGCAAAUUAUCCAUGAAUAAAUAUUUAACUAUCACAAUGAGGAGGGGAACGGAUUGUAGCAUGCUCCACAGUGGACAGACAGCCCGAGCUUUAGGAAACAUAAGUGUGGCAGGUAGCCUAGUGGUUAGAGCGUUGGGCCAGUAACUGGAAGGUUUCUGGAUCGAAUCCCCGAGCUGACAAGGUUAAAAUCUGUUGUUCUGCCCCUGAGCAAGGCAGUUAACCCACUGUUCCCUGGGUGCCGUGGAUGGUGACUAAGGCAGCUCCCUGCACCGCUCUGAUUCAGAAGGCUUGGGUUAAAUGUGGAAGGCAUUCAGUUGUACAACUGACUCGGUAUCUUCCCUAUCUAUUGUGUCUCAGUAAUCAGUGUUUUAUUUAUGUCUGUAUGAUUGAGUCCUUAUUUGAGUCGUAUGACUGUGACUACCAGUAUGUAAGUAACCAUAAACACAGUUCUGUGAACUACAGUGUAUUUCUAACUUAAUUAUUUUUUGUAACACAUAACAGGCUGUUGUACUUAUCAUUGAAGCAGUAGUAAAUAAUUUAACAUUUUAGCCCACAACGUCUUUAUCUAAUUUGUCUCAUCUAUUACUCUUUAUUCUCCAUUUACUACCUAUUUGUAUUAUACGGCUCUGACUGUAAACAAAUUACAAAAGCAAUAGAUUUGUUGAAAUGUGUAUUCUCUCCCUAAAUUCCCCAGCCCCUUUUUCACCACCAUAAUUUGUAUUCUUGUCACAGUUGAGCUUGAAGCAAGCCGUAUCACUGCAUCAGAAUGUGAAAUUUACCAAAUGUCACACAUUAAAACCUGAAACAUAUCACUAAUUUACACCGUUUCAAUUCCAUAUUUGUGGAUUUUUUUAAUUAUACAUUUCUACAAUUCAUGUGCAAUGAGUGUACAAAUCUUUAAGAACAGAGGCUCUUUCCAUGACAGACUGACCAGGUGAAUCUAGGUGGAAGCUAUGAUCCCUUAUUGAUGUCACUUGUUAAAUCCACUUCAAUCAGUGUAGAUGAAGGGGAGGAGACCGGUUAAAGAAGGAUUUUUAAGCCUUGAGACAAUUGAGAUGAGGAAUGUGUAUUUGUGCCAUUCAGAGGGUGAAUGUGCAAGACAAAUAAAGAUUAAAGCGCCUUUGAUUGGGGUAUAGUAGUAGAUGCCUUUCAGAGACCUGU